rnacentral:rRNA from 1 species
GACGAACGCUGGCGGCGUGCUUAACACAUGCAGGUCGAACGGAAAGGCCCUGCUUUUGUGGGGUGCUCGAGUGGCGAACGGGUGAGUAACACGUGAGUAACCUGCCCUUGACUUUGGGAUAACUUCAGGAAACUGGGGCUAAUACCGGAUAGGAGCUCCUGCUGCAUGGUGGGGGUUGGAAAGUUUCGGCGGUUGGGGAUGGACUCGCGGCUUAUCAGCUUGUUGGUGGGGUAGUGGCUUACCAAGGCUUUGACGGGUAGCCGGCCUGAGAGGGUGACCGGCCACAGUGGGACUGAGAUACGGCCCAGACUCCUACGGGAGGCAGCAGUGGGGAAUAUUGCACAAUGGGCGGAAGCCUGAUGCAGCAACGCCGCGUGCGGGAUGACGGCCUUCGGGUUGGAAACCGCUUUCGCCUGUGACGAAGCGUGAGUGACGGUAAUGGGUAAAGAAGCACCGGCUAACUACGUG